UGGGGCGUAGCGUUCAGGGUGAGUGCGUCCGGCUGUUAACCGGAAAUGAGGCUGGUUCGAUCCCAGCCGCCCCAGCCA
rnacentral:tRNA from 1 species